CUACGUUUCGCAUCCUUGAGGAAUAUUGCACAAUGGGGGGAACCCUGAUGCAGCAACGCCGCGUGGCGUCUGCCUCAUUUCGGUGUGUAAACUCCUUUUAUAUGUCAAGAAAAUGACGGUAGCAUAUGAAUAAGCACCGGCUAACUCCGUGCCAGCAGCCGCGGUAAUACGGAGGGUGCAAGCGUUACUCGGAAUCACUGGGCGUAAAGGACGCGUAGGCGGGUUGGAAAGUCAGGUGUGAAAUCCUACAGCUUAACUGUAGAACUGCACUUGAAACUUCUAAUCUAGAGUAUGGGAGGGGGAGAUGGACUUAGUGGUGUAGGGGUAAAAUCCGUAGAUAUCACUAGGAAUACCUAAAGCGAAGGCGAUCUCCUGGAACAUUACUGACGCUAAGGCGUGAAAGCGUGGGGAGCAAACAGGAUUAGAUACCCUUGUAGUC
rnacentral:rRNA from 1 species